CUUGGUUCAGGACGAACGCUGGCGGCGUGCCUAAUACAUGCAAGUCGAACGGUCUUUUCUAUGGAAGCUUGCUUCCACUGAGAAGAUAGUGGCGAACGGGUGAGUAACACGUGGGUAACCUGCCCAUAAGAGGGGGGAUAACAUCCGGAAACGGGUGCUAAUACCGCAUAGUUUUUCUUGAUUGCAUGAUUGAGAAAGGAAAGACGGCCUUUGUGCUGUCGCUUAUGGAUGGACCCGCGGCGUAUUAGUUAGUUGGUGAGGUAACGGCUCACCAAGACGAUGAUACGUAGCCGACCUGAGAGGGUGAUCGGCCACAUUGGGACUGAGACACGGCCCAAACUCCUACGGGAGGCAGCAGUAGGGAAUCUUCCGCAAUGGACGAAAGUCUGACGGAGCAACGCCGCGUGAGUGAAGAAAGGUUUUCGGAUCGUAAAACUCUGUUGUCAGAGAAGAACAAGUUGGAGAGUAACUGCUCCAGCCUUGACGGUAUCUGACCAGAAAGCCACGGCUAACUACGUGCCAGCAGCGGC
rnacentral:rRNA from 1 species